rnacentral:rRNA from 1 species
UGACGGUACCUGACUAAGAAGCACCGGCUAAAUACGUGCCAGCAGCCGCGGUAAUACGUAUGGUGCAAGCGUUAUCCGGAUUUACUGGGUGUAAAGGGAGCGCAGGCGGUCCUGCAAGCCAGAGGUGAAAACCCGGGGCUCAACCCCGUGAUUGCCUUUGGAACUGUAGAGCUUGAGUACUGGAGGGGCAGGCGGAAUUCCUGGUGUAGCGGUGAAAUGCGUAGAUAUUAGGAGGAACACCAGUGGCGAAGGCGGCUUACUGGACGAUAACUGACGUUGAGGCUCGAAAGCGUGGGGAGCAAACAGGAUUAGAUACCCUG